CUAUCUAUCAAAGGUGUUCAAGAAUGAGUUCUGGAGAAGUGUUUUCUUCCCUUCAAAUUCCAAAGAUUGAGGAUGUCAAUGACCAAAGAGUGCAAGAGGCUGGAAGGUUUGCAGUGAAAGAGUAUAACAAUCAAGAAGUUACGAAGGAGGAUUGUAUUCCUUGGUCAUUUAUUGCAAGGGUGAAAGUCAAGGUGAGAGGGUGCAAGAGAGAGAUGAAUCUCUUAUUAUUUGAAAAUGUCCUCAAGGAUUUCAUCGAGCAUUAGAUUGCUCUCUCAGUUUAUACUAAGCCCUCGUUCUAUAGUGGAGAGGGCGUUGCUCUCUUUUAACUAUGAAAAUGGCAUAGAGUCACACUAAAAUAAUCAUAUACUUAUCUUUCUAUCUA